GGAUAGUCUAGCGGUUAUGACGUCUGCCUUACACGCAGAAGGUCGCGGGUUCGAUCCCCGCUCC
rnacentral:tRNA from 1 species